UCUCUGUUAGUAUAUCGGUUAGUACACGCGCCUGUCACUUUCCGGGGUCCUAGGACCUCGGAGAUCGCGCGAAAGCAGGGUUCGACUCCCUGACAGAGAG